CACAAGAGAGAGGAAAUCACUAGGCUUUGUUUCAUUCUGGCUUUUCAAUCUCUUUUUGGAAAUAUGAGGCUCAACUUUGGGGUGUUUUUAAAAUUGCUGGCCUUUCUCUGUGCCUGCUAACUAUGAGGGCCAUGUGAGGAGGCUGCUGAAGUCCUUUGGAUUUUCUGAGAUUCUGUGAACCGAGAAGCCAUGGAAGGCAAGCAGCCUCUUCCCGCCAUCCCUGCUCUGAGUGUGGGAUCACUAGCGGGGCUGGCAUGAAGGCCUCUUAUGAAUGCAGAGUCCUUGAGAGACCUGAGAGGAUGAAUAUACAAGGAUCAGGCUACUUAAAAAAAUCGUACUCUGACCUACAGCCUGCUGCAAUCAGCCCAGAAUGCCAGCUGGCUAGAACAGUAAGCAGUCCCAGAAGCCAGCUCAUAACCCCCGUGGCCAACAGCUGCAGACAGCCAGAGCUCUGUACCGACAGCUUGCCUCCAGUUUGUACCCACUUCUCAUUUAGGACCCACGGGAGGAAGGCCAACAUGUAUUUCCUAACCAGUCACAUAGGUUUCCCCAACUUUAGUUAGCCUAUGUACGGCAGCCCCAUGCCUCCAGCCUCCAGUCAGGCCACACUUGGGGACUUCUUUUUUAUGCACUGUAAAGCAUUCCCAGUCUCCGGCCUGCCUUUGAGUCUCCACCCAGUGUAUGUGAUGGUGGCCAACUCCCUUGCUGGAGCAGCCUCUGA